rnacentral:lncRNA from 1 species
CAAAGACCAGAUACUAUUCAUGCCAUCACAAGACCAAUAACAACUUUACAGCACAGAGAUAACUCCUAUUGUCAAGCAAAUGGCAUAAUUGGCAGAGGCUGGUAGUAGUAGCAGCGUAUAUCGGAGAGCAACUGAAAGGACCAAAGGGAUGGACAGUACCUUGCCAUUGUAUUCUUUCUUCAUUAAAAGUUCAGGAGCAAUGUAUGCUGGAGUUCCCACAGUGGACUUUGGUUGUGAAUGCAGAAGAGCUGACUGUAAAAAUGAGAGAACAUGACAGUAAUCAGGUAAACUGAACAGCAUUCAACACAAGUAUCUUUUUUGACAAUCAACAAACCAGUACAGUACAGUAAUAAUCAUAUUAUGUUGUAUGUUGUAUAUCCAGUAUAGUAAACUGGGCGCAAGUAAUACCUUGGAAUAACC